GCGCCGGUAGCUGAGUGGCUUAGCGGCGGGCUCUUAACCCGCGACAAGGUGAGUUCGAUCCUCAGCCGGCACACCA
rnacentral:tRNA from 1 species